rnacentral:misc_RNA from 1 species
CCAAACUUGGUCAUUUAGAGGAAGUAAAAGUCGUAACAAGGUUUCCGUAGGUGAACCUGCGGAAGGAUCAUUACAGAACGCCGAAGGUCCCCGUGGCCUUCGGACCGCACCGCUGUCCCGUCUCCCCCGGACCCUCUCGGGGAAGGGGGCGGAUCGGGUCACCGUGUCAACCCCCUUGUGAAACUUUGAAAUUUGCUUCGGCAGCACCUCAGGCGUAUAAAUUCCUGUCCGAGGAUAAGGCUGUCGGAAGCUUCUUAUGCAAAACCUGUUUAUGAAAUGUCAUGCUGUCUUAGGGAAGAAAAACUGUUUGAGAAAUCAAAUAUCAUUAAAACUUUCAGCAACGGAUCUCUUGGUUCCCGCAUCGAUGAAGAACGCAGC